UACGGAGGGGGCAAGCGUUGUUCGGAAUUAUUGGGCGUAAAGCGUAUGUAGGCGGCUAAGUAAGUCAGGCGUGCAAGCCCGUGGCUCAACCACGGAAUUGCGUUUGAAACUGCUUAGCUUGAGUACAGGAGAGGAAAGCGGAAUUCCCAGUGUAGCGGUGAAAUGCAUUGAUAUUGGGAAGAACAUCUGUGGCGAAGGCGGCCCCCUGGAUCGAUACUGACGCUAAGGUGCGAAAGCGUGGGGAGCAAACAGG
rnacentral:rRNA from 1 species